AGAGUUUGAUCCUGGCUCAGGAUGAACGCUGGCGGCGUGCUUAACACAUGCAAGUCGAACGAGCCCUUCGGGGUUAGUGGCGGACGGGUGAGUAACGCGUGAGGAUCUGCCUUCAGGUUGGGGACAACCACUGGAAACGGUGGCUAAUACCCAAUGUGCCGAGAGGUGAAAGGCUUGCUGCCUGAAGAUGAACUCGCGUCUGAUUAGCUAGUUGGUGAGGUAAGGGCUCACCAAGGCGACGAUCAGUAGCUGGUCUAAGAGGAUGAUCAGCCACACUGGGACUGAGACACGGCCCAGACUCCUACGGGAGGCAGCAGUGGGGAAUUUUCCGCGAUGGGCGAAAGCCUGACGGAGCAACGCCGCGUGAGGGAGGAAGGCUCUUGGGUUGUAAACCUCUUUUGUCAGGGAAGAAGAACUGACGGUACCGA
rnacentral:rRNA from 1 species